GUAGGUGGCAAGCGUUGUCCGGAAUUAUUGGGCGUAAAGCGCGCGCAGGCGGUUCUUUAAGUCUGAUGUGAAAGCCCACGGCUCAACCGUGGAGUGUCAUUGGAAACUGGAGAACUUGAGUACAGAAGAGGAAAGCGGAAUUCCACGUGUAGCGGUGAAAUGCGUAGAGAUGUGGAGGAACACCAGUGGCGAAGGCGGCUUUCUGGUCUGUAACUGACGCUGAGGCGCGAAAGCGUGGGGGAGCAAACAGGAUUAGAUACCCUGGUAGUCCACGCCGUAAACGAUGAGUGCUAAGUGUUAGGGGGUUUCCGCCCCUUAGUGCUGCAGCUAACGCAUUAAGCACUCCGCCUGGGAGUACGGCCGCAAGGCUG
rnacentral:rRNA from 1 species